GAGGGUGCGAGCGUUAUCGGAUUACUGGGCGUAAAGCGUGCGUAGGCGGCUUUUUAAGUCGGAUGUGAAAUCCCUGAGCUUAACUUAGGAAUUGCAUCCAAUACUGAAAAGCUAAAUAAUGGAAAAGAGAUGUAAAAUUCCACGUGUAUCGGUGAGAUGUGUGUAGAGAUCUGGAGGAAUACCGAUGGCGAAGGCAGCCAUCUGGCCUAAUACUGACGCUGAGGUACGAAAGCAUGGGGAGCAAACAGGAUUAGAUACCCUGGUAGUCCAUGCCGUAAACGAUGUCUACUAGCCGUUGGGGCCUUUGAGGCUUUAGUGGCGCAGCUAACGCGAUAAGUAGACCGCCUGGGGAGUACGGUCGCAAGACUAAAACUCAAAUGAAUUGACGGGGGCCCGCACAAGCGGUGGAGCAUGUGGUUUAAUUCGAUGCAACGCGAAGAACCUUACCUGGCCUUGACAUACUAAGAACUUUCCAGAGAUGGAUUGGUGCCUUCGGGAACUUAGAUACAGGUGCUGCAUGGCUGUCGUCAGCUCGUGUCGUGAGAUG
rnacentral:rRNA from 1 species